rnacentral:rRNA from 1 species
UAGGGAAUAUUGGACAAUGGGCGAAAGCCUGAUCCAGCAAUGCCGCGUGAGUGAUGAAGGCCUUAGGGUUGUAAAGCUCUUUUACCCGGGAUGAUAAUGACAGUACCGGGAGAAUAAGCUCCGGCUAACUCCGUGCCAGCAGCCGCGGUAAUACGGAGGGAGCUAGCGUUGUUCGGAAUUACUGGGCGUAAAGCGCACGUAGGCGGCUAUUCAAGUCAGAGGUGAAAGCCCGGGGCUCAACCCCGGAACUGCCUUUGAAACUAGAUAGCUUGAAUCCAGGAGAGGUGAGUGGAAUUCCGAGUGUAGAGGUGAAAUUCGUAGAUAUUCGGAAGAACACCAGUGGCGAAGGCGGCUCACUGGACUGGUAUUGACGCUGAGGUGCGAAAGCGUGGGGAGCAACCAGGAUUAGAUACCCUGGUAGUCCACGCCGUAAACGAUGAUAACUAGCUGUCAGGGCACAUGGUGUUUUGGUGGCGCAGCUAACGCAUUAAGUUAUCCGCCUGGGGAGUACGGUCGCAAGAUUA